rnacentral:rRNA from 1 species
GCAUCGAUGAAGAACGCAGCGAAAUGCGAUAAGUAAUGUGAAUUGCAGAAUUCAGUGAAUCAUCGAAUCUUUGAACGCACAUUGCGCCCCUUGGUAUUCCGAGGGGCAUGCCUGUUCGAGCGUCAUUACACCACUCAAGCUAUGCUUGGUAUUGGGUGCCGUCCUUAGUUGGGCGCGCCUUAAAGACCUCGGCGAGGCCUCACCGGCUUUAGGCGUAGUAGAAUUUAUUCGAACGUCUGUCAAAGGAGAGGACUUCUGCCGACUGAAACCUUUAUUUUUCUAGGUUGACCUCGGAUCAGGUAGGGAUACCCGCUGAACUUAAGCAUAUCAAUAAGCGGAGGA